rnacentral:rRNA from 1 species
AUGGCGCGCCUUCUCCUCGUCCUCGUCCUCGUCCUCGCGGUGGCAGCUGCCGUCGCCCAAUCGAUGGUCUCUGCUGCUUCCUCAUCGUCGUACCGGACCUACCGGUGCGGCUGGUGCCCGCGCCGCUCUACCGCCUCCCUCCUCCCUCCGGACGCCGGCGCCCUUACUGGUGCCCCGUGCUGGUUCGGUGGCCAGGCGGCAGCGGAGCUCGCCGCCGACGGAGGGUUCCACAUUGCGGCCGUCGGCGCUGGAUUCUUCCGCGGCGGCCGGGCCUGCGGCGCCUGCUACCAACUGAGAUGCAGGGGCAAGAACGCGUGCUCAGAGAGCGGCGUCAAGGUCAUCAUCACCGACUUGGCGAAUCCGGCGACGGACACGAACAGGACAGGCGGCGGCCAGUUCCAACUCACUAGGGACGCCUUCGCCGCCUUGACUGCUUCUCGUGACGACGGUCAGCUCGCGAGCUUGGUGGACGCGGCCGUCGACGUCGACUUCAGGAGGAUACCUUGCGCGUACAAGAGCAAGAACCUGGCGGUGAGGGUGGAUGAGACGAGCAGCAGGAACAGGGGGCAGCUCGCCAUUCGGUUCCUCUACCAGGGCGGCCAGACCGACAUCGUCGCCGUCGAGGUGGCGAAGGCGGCGGCACCUUAUGCCGCUCAAAGCGCCGCCGCGCCGUCGCAGACGAAAUGGCAGUACAUGACGCGGCGCGAGGGGUCGCCCGGGGUGUGGCGCACGUCGCGCGCGCCGGCCGGCCCGCUGCGGCUCCGGCUCGUAGUCACCGCGGGCUCCGGCGGCAAGUGGCUGCGCGCUGACGGGGCGAUUUUCCCAGCGGAGUGGCAUGCUGGCGCGGUCUAUGACACCGGGCUGCGCGUCACCGAGGUCGCUGCAAACACCUGCGGCGCCGGAGACGACAACGACGAUGGCGAGUAG